AUGCACGCUGGCGGCGUGCCUAAUACCUGCAAGUCGAGCGAACGGACGAGAAGCUUGCUUCUCUGAUGUUAGCGGCGGACGGGUGAGUAACACGUGGAUAACCUACCUAUAAGACUGGGAUAACUUCGGGAAACCGGGGCUAAUACCGGAUAAUAUUUUGAACCGCAUGGUUCAAAAGUGAAAGACGGUCUUGCUGUCACUUAUAGAUGGAUCCGCGCUGCAUUAGCUAGUUGGUAAGGUAACGGCUUACCAAGGCAACGAUGCAUAGCCGACCUGAGAGGGUGAUCGGCCCCACUGGAACUGAGACACGGUCCAGACUCCUACGGGAGGCAGCAGUAGGGAAUCUUCCGCAAUGGGCGAAAGCCUGACGGAGCAACGCCGCGUGAGUGAUGAAGGUCUUCGGAUCGUAAAACUCUGUUAUUAGGGAAGAACAUAUGUGUAAGUAACUGUGCACAUCUUGACGGUACCUAAUCAGAAAGCCACGGCUAACUACGUG
rnacentral:rRNA from 1 species